rnacentral:rRNA from 1 species
AACUGGGUGUAGUUUUAUACUCAGCUUUUUCUGCUCAAUGAAUAUUUAAAUAGCCGCAGUACCCUGACUGUGCAAAGGUAGCAUAAUCAGUUGGCUCAUAAUUGGAGUCUUGUAUGAAUGACCGCAUGGGUAGAGCCUGUCUCUGAACGAUAACCAUAACUUUUUAAGUAAGUGAAAAUACUUACUGGUAUCAUAAAAGACGAGAAGACCCUAGAAAUUUUUCAUUAAGGGUGUACAGUGACAUCUUGAUGUUUUGCUGGGGCGGCAGAGUAACAUAGUAACUUACUCUAUUUAUUAGGCUUUUAUUUACAGGUAGAUUAUAAUUACUCUAGGGAUAACAGCGUAAUUCUGUGAGAGAUUGCGACCUCGAUGUUGGACUAGGGAAGAGAGCAUGCAGAAGGUGUUCUCUCACGUUCUGUUCGAACAAUUUCCCCUACAUG